CGUGUGCUGGAGGAUGAAGUAAGGAGUGAUCCAUCGGCUAAGUGUUUUCCCACUGUGCUGACACUCGCAUUGCUGACAGUGCACG
ensembl:snoRNA Snord71 small nucleolar RNA SNORD71